UUUAAUAGGAUGGAUCUUUGGAUGUUGAUGCUUAUGAUCCCGAUGGAAAAUGCAUGCGGCUAUUUUUAUCUACAAAACCUUGCACUUACCAGUCAGUUCCUACAAAGAUCAUAUCUGUUCGACCAUUCAUGACUUUCACCAACAGGAUCGGUGAAGACAUAUAUAUUAAAUU